rnacentral:rRNA from 1 species
CUGAAAAUGGAUGGCGCUCUAGCGUCGCGCCUAUACCGGGCCGUCAGCGGCAAAGCGGGCCGGCGACCCUCAGUCGCGAGACUUUGGGCACGGCCGUUAAGCCUUGACGAGUAGGAGGAGCGCGGCGGUGUGCGCAGAAGGGUCUGGGCGUGAGCCUGCCUGGAGCCGCCGUCGGUGCAGAUCUUGGUGGUAGUAGCAAAUACUCUAGCGAGGACCUGGAGGUCUGAUGUGGAGAAGGGUUUCUUGUGAACAGCCGUUGCACAAGGGUCAGUCGAUCCUAAGCCCUAGCAGAAAUGCGAUGUUGAUGGGAACGAUUCAAACAUGUGCCCAUCCAUGUUGUCUGACGCACUGUCUUGGCUUUAUAUAGCGCAGACUAGAACGUUCCCGUCGGGCGAAAGGGAAUCCGGUUCCAAUUCCGGAACCCGGCGCGUAACCGCUUCUCCGCGGGCACUCGCCUGCGAGCGCUCGUCGGGGUAACCCAAGGUGACACGGAGACGCCGGCGGGAGGUCCGGAGAGAGUUGUCUUUUCUCUAUAAGCGUUCGAGUUCCCUGGAAUCCUCUAGCAGGGAGAUAGGGUUUGGAACGCGAAGAGCACCGCAGUUGCGGCGGUGUCCGGACUGUCCCCCCGGACCUUGAAAAUCCGUGUAAGGGCCACGCGGAACACGCGCCGGUUCGUACCCAUAUCCGCAGCAGGUCUCCGAGGUCAAGAGCCUCUAGUCGAUAGAAUAAUGUAGGUAAGGGAAGUCGGCAAAUUGGAUCCGUAACUUCGGGACAAGGAUUGGCUCUGAGGAUCGGGGCGUUCCGGGCUUGGUCGGGAAGCGGGCCGGUGCCAAUGUGUUGGUCUGGGCUAGGCGAACGGUGUGCGCACCGCCAGCCGAGUCCGGGCUUCGUGCUUGGCCGUCCGCGGAUCUUCCUCGCUCUCUGGUUGUCUGUCGUCCGGACGCGUUGCGGUGGCGAGCCGCAUCGGCAGUCGGGCAGAUUUCCUUAUCAGGGGCGCCGUGCAACGAUCGACUCAGAACUGGCACGGACAAGGGGAAUCCGACUGUCUAAUUAAAGCAAAGCAUUGCGAAGGCCCUAGCUGGGUGUUUACGCAAUGUGAUUUCUGCCCAGUGCUCUGAAUGUCAAAGUGAAGAAAUUCAAGCAAGCGCGGGUAAACGGCGGGAGUAACUAUGACUCUCUUAAGGUAGCCAAAUGCCUCGUCAUCCAAUUAGUGACGCGCAUGAAUGGAUUAACGAGAUUCUCACUGUCCCUAUCUACUAUCUAGCGAAACCACAGCCAAGGGAACGGGCUUGGUAAAAUUAGCGGGGAAAGAAGACCCUGUUGAGCUUGACUCUAGUCUGGCACUGUAAGGAGACAUGAGAGGUGUAGCAUAAGUGGGAGACGUGUGUUGGCUCAGGCCUUCCCGUCGCCGGUGAAAUACCACUACUUUCAUCGUUUCCUUACUUACUCGGACAGGCGGGAAGCGCGUCCGUCGAGGGCAUUCCACCCUGGCGGAACGGUGUUCUUGCUCCAAUCGUUCGAGGGUUGCAGGUGGCCGAGCGGUCGGCGCAGUCCCGGUGUGAUUCGGUCCUCUUACGGGGUCCUUACACGCCAGCUGUGUCCUCAACCGUUCGUGUCCAACCGGCAAACACUCCCUCGCGUGAUCCGAUUCGAGGACACAGCCAGGCGGGGAGUUUGACUGGGGCGGUACAUCUGUCAAAUGAUAACGCAGGUGUCCUAAGGCCAGCUCAGCGAGGACAGAAACCUCGCGUAGAGCAAAAGGGCAAAUGCUGGUUUGACCCCGAUGUCCAGUACGCAUAGGGGCUGCGAAAGCACGGCCUGUCGAUCCUCUUGGCUUGAAGAGAUUUCAUCAAGAGGUGU